UUUUUAUUUUAUUUUUGAGAUGGAGUCUUGCUCUGUCACCCAGGCUGGAGUGCAGUGGCACAAUCUUGGCUCACUGCAACCUCUGCCACCUGGGUUCAAGAGAUUCAGCCUCUGCCUCAGCCUCCAGAGUAGCUGGGAUUAUAGGCCUGCGCCACCACACCUGGCUAAUGUUUGUAUUUUUAGUAGAGACAAGGUUUCACCAUGUUGGCCAGGCUGAUCUCAAACUCCUGACCUCAAGUGAUCCUCCCACCUCGGACUCCCAAAGUGUUGGGAUUACAGGCGCGAGCCACUGCGCUCUGCCAGCACCUGCAUCUUGUAAACGGAGAAAGUGCUUAUGACAUAAACCCCAGGAGCCCAUGGCCAUGAGGAUUAGAGGUAAUGCAACUGUCAACCCAUUAGCCUGGUAUCAGGCAGGUACCAGACACUGCUUAUCCCUUCAGUGUAGUUCUGCUGGGCUCUGAGGAGGCCAGAUCACUGCUCUUGGGUUUAUAUCCAGAAGGGGAGUUGGACGCAAACAGCUAAGUCCAUGGCACAAAACAGAAUAAAUACCAUAAUCAUAAUUGAUCACAUGGUCACAACCAGUACCACUACUCCCCAGAAAAUCUUUCUUCUCAGCUGUCAGCAGGGAAUAUAAUAGUGUCACUUUCAUUUCACUUCUAGAGCAAAGCUUAACUUUCUUGAGUGUGUAACACUCAUAGAGGAUGUUGUUAAAAUGCAAAUUCCCAACACCUUCCACCCAGCCCCAGAGUCUACUUCUGUGGGUCUGAGAGGGACCCAGGAAUGGCACUUUUAAUGGCCCCUCAUGAGAUUGAUGUGGAUGGUUCCCAAACCCUGUGAGGUGGACUGUCAGUGCAGUGGAGCCUGGGGGAUGCCCAUUUGUGCUUAGGCCACUGAGAAAUGUAGAGGCUCAAUAGGCCUUUGGUAUAUUCAAAGGUGAGUGAAGGAUAACAAGGUGAAGAGAUGCCUGUGAAUCUGAUUUUUUGGAUGACUGCAACCAAGAGUGAGUGGGCAUGAAAAACAAUCCAAGAGCUCACAUUUAUAUGAGGCUCUUAUCAGUACUGAGACAUUCUCAUUUCACAAGCUUGGAUGUGCAAAAAGAAAAAAAAAUUACUUAUUUCUUUAAAUCAGUUAUUGAUUUCAAACCCCCCAUCCUGCUGUCUGGCUGGAAAUUCAGUAUCAACCAUGAUUGGUUCUGGCUCCUGGAGCCAUCUGAAAGUCCUUGGAUGCCACUUACCCUUGAAUCAAGGGUGCCAUUGUGGGUCUUUGGUCCCUUUCCCAUUUGAGGCUGUUUAAUGGCCCUGCUUCUCACCUGAGCCUGGAAAUCCUACAAAGCCUAGACCCCAGGGUUAGGCCCACCUCCCUGUGCACACUCGCAGCCAUGCCCUCUCCCAGCCCCAGUCCUAGGAAGCCCACUCCUCUGCACCACUCCCUCUCUUCACCCAAUCCAGCCCCUCACGGGCUGAACAAAAAAGCCAGAAAAGGAAGAGUGUGCAGGAACCUUUUAUAGUCCAUCCUUCUUUGACGCUUCUUGGAAAAAGUACAAAUACAGUGAUAACUAAAUACCAUAUCUCUAUCGAUUAUCCUUUGGCCCAAAGCCCUCUGGGGUGAUCCUCCAUGAUGGAUGUCCCAUUUAAAGGUGAGGAAUCUGAUUCUGAGGAAGCAACCGUUGUGGACAGCUUCACAUAAUAGCUGGCCAGGCCUAGACUCAAACCAGGCUGUCCACCUCUCUCUGGUCCAGCCCAAUCUCCCCAGCUGAGUCAUUCUGAAGAGUCAGCAUGGACUAAAAUGGUGGAGAGGCCCCUCUUUUCCCACUGAUGUUCACUGGCCCAUGGGACAGAAGUGGGGGAAUCUCUUGAGGGCCAAUUAAAGUGGGUAAAGGAGGCAGGAGAACCAGGUAACAGUUCAUGUACUUACCUUCUAUUCAACAACUAUUCAUUAAACAGGGCAAUUUAUCCCUAUAGCACCAUGAGUUAAAGGAGAGUUGUGGAGAAAAGAGGGAAGGGGUUUGAGAAGAAAAGGCCCUGAGAAUCCUGCAC
rnacentral:lncRNA from 1 species